rnacentral:rRNA from 1 species
UUCCUACGGGGGGCAGCAGUGAGGAAUAUUGGUCAAUGGGCGAGAGCCUGAACCAGCCAAGUCGCGUGAGGGAAGACGGUCCUAUGGAUUGUAAACCUCUUUUGCCGGGGAGCAAAAAGCGGUACGUGUACCGCAUCGAGAGUACCCGGAGAAAAAGCAUCGGCUAACUCCGUGCCAGCAGCCGCGGUAAUACGGAGGAUGCGAGCGUUAUCCGGAUUUAUUGGGUUUAAAGGGUGCGUAGGCGGGCUGUUAAGUCAGCGGUCAAAUGUCGGGGCUCAACCCCGGCCUGCCGUUGAAACUGGCGG